CCCCAAGCAGCUACGUGCAAGCGUUGGCCUUUUAAGCCAAAGAAAGGGUCAAACGUGAUCCCUUGAGGA
rnacentral:tRNA from 1 species